UACAGAGGGUGCGAGCGUUAAUCGGAAUUACUGGGCGUAAAGCGCGCGUAGGCGGCUUUGCAAGUCGGGUGUGAAAUCCCCAGGCUUAACCUGGGAACUGCAUUCGAGACUGCAUUGCUAGAGUAUGGGAGAGGGAAGUGGAAUUUCCGGUGUAGCGGUGAAAUGCGUAGAGAUCCGGAGGAACACCAGUGGCGAAAGCGGCCACCUGGACUGCACCUGACGCUGAAACGCGAAAGCUAGGGGAGCGAACGGG
rnacentral:rRNA from 1 species